AUUGAACGCUGGCGGCAGGCCUAACACAUGCAAGUCGAGCGAGCGGCGGACGGGUGAGUAAUGUCUGGGAAACUGCCUUAUGGAGGGGGAUAACUACUGGAAACGGUAGCUAAUACCGCAUACCAUCAGAUGUGCCCAGAUGGGAUUAGCUAGUAGGUGGGGUAACGGCUCACAUAGGCGGCGAUCCCUAGCUGGUCUGAGAGGAUGACAGGCCACACUGGAACUGAGACACGGUCCAGACGCCUACGGGAGGCAGAAGUGGGGAAUAUUGCACAAUGGGGGCAGGCCUGAGGCAGCCAGGCGGGGUAUGUGAGGAGGGCCUUCGGGUUGUAAGGCACGUUCAGCGGGGAGGCGUUACCCGCAGAAGAAGCGCCGGCUAACUCCGUGCCAGCAGCCGCGGUAAUAC
rnacentral:rRNA from 1 species